rnacentral:rRNA from 1 species
CUUACACAUGCAAGUCGAACGGCAGCACGGGGGCAACCCUGGUGGCGAGUGGCGAACGGGUGAGUAAUACAUCGGAACGUGUCCUGUAGUGGGGGAUAGCCCGGCGAAAGCCGGAUUAAUACCGCAUACGCUCUACGGAGGAAAGGGGGGGAUCUUAGGACCUCCCGCUACAGGGGCGGCCGAUGGCAGAUUAGCUAGUUGGUGGGGUAAAGGCCUACCAAGGCGACGAUCUGUAGCUGGUCUGAGAGGACGACCAGCCACACUGGGACUGAGACACGGCCCAGACUCCUACGGGAGGCAGCAGUGGGGAAUUUUGGACAAUGGGGGCAACCCUGAUCCAGCAAUGCCGCGUGUGUGAAGAAGGCCUUCGGGUUGUAAAGCACUUUUGUCCGGAAAGAAAACGCCGUGGUUAAUACCCGUGGCGGAUGACGGUACCGGAAGAAUAAGCACCGGCUAACUACGUGCCAGCAGCCGCGGUAAUACGUAGGGUGCAAGCGUUAAUCGGAAUUACUGGGCGUAAAGCGUGCGCAGGCGGUCCGCUAAGACAGAUGUGAAAUCCCCGGGCUUAACCUGGGAACUGCAUUUGUGACUGGCGGGCUAGAGUAUGGCAGAGGGGGGUAGAAUUCCACGUGUAGCAGUGAAAUGCGUAGAGAUGUGGAGGAAUACCGAUGGCGAAGGCAGCCCCCUGGGCCAAUACUGACGCUCAUGCACGAAAGCGUGGGGAGCAAACAAGAUUAGAUACCCUGGUAGUCCACGCCCUAACGAUGUCAACUAGUUGUCGGGUCUUCAUUGACUUGGUACGUACUACCCGGUGAAGUUGACCGCCUGGGGAGUACGGUCGCAAAAUUAAACCUCAAAGGAAUUGACGGG